AAACCGUUGUAUGAAAAAAGUUAACGAGAUCACAAGCAAUUCCAUCUUGCUGAUAAGCUUCAAGUUCAUUUCGUCCUGUGGAGUGCAUGAUGAGAUAGUGUGGAGGUAAAAGAGUGAAAUUCACUUAUUUGAGGAGUUCAGUUAACUACAUAAGCUUUUAUCGCAUAAAAUGAAACAUAUUUUUAGUGAUGAGACAUAAAUUCCAAAUCCAGCUCAUGCAACAUUAGUCGUCCAAAUGUCUAGAGUGCCGCUGUCACUACUUGACUUAUCAAAGUCACGUUAAGAAGAAGAGUCAUCCGAUUAAAGACGAAAAGUUCUCUAAAGUUGCACUUUACUGGCGAAAUGGUGUGAUUGAAAGGAGGUCGAGACAAACAACCUUCUGCACGAAAUUGACUGACUAAUCCUGCAAACCUUGAUAAACACAUGUAAACCAUGUCAUCCUCCCUGGAAAUCAUUUGUAACUGGUUUAUUCGGUUAUUUUGCUGCCUUUCUACCGAUUUUGAGGAAGAAAAGAGCUACUCAUUCUUCACGAAUCGGAAUAAGAAGUGCCCAUUUUUCUCAGAAAAGGCUCCGCGGGGUGUGCCCAGCAAGAACAAUAAUACACAGAAGAAUAAGCAUAAAAAGAAGAAGGAAGGGAUUGAUCAGUACAAGAUUAGAUUGGCCCAGCACAGUUUUAACUUCAGCCUCCUACACCCGCAGUAUUAUCCGUCGCAAACGCUUUGGUCGAGAAGGAGGCGCUGUUUUUCAGACUCAUUGUCCGACCUGACGGAACGAUCGGAUGAAAGCUUAGUGAAUUCCGUGGACUUGGAGACAUCGGAGGAACACUGUACAGAAAAUACUUGUAGCAACCAGUAAUUUUUGGCCUGUUAGUAGAUUAGAGGUGAUAUUCUUCGUUUUACGACCUGUACAAAAUGAAUAAGCUAAUUAUUUAUUUAAAUAUAGAAAACUUUAUGAAAGACUUUCGCAUUCCUGUAAACAAUAAAUCGUUAAAUCAAUUGUUCCAUAUUUUA